GGGCGGAGCGCUGAGGUGGCGGUGCUGCUGGGCUUGUUUGUUCUUUCGUCUGUCCGUUCUCCCUUCGUAACAAGCCGCGGGUUCUGGGUUAGGGGUUCCUUGGGGGCGCUCGCCUUCCACAGAGCGAGCCUGAGGCACCCGCUGCCUUUCUGCUCUACUGGCUCGGUCCUUUACGGUGUUGCCUUGUAUGUGUGGCUUUGUCUCCUGUUGACUCCCGCGGUGACCUGCUGGUCGCAGGCAGGCUGCACGUACAAAAACGCACCUCACACGUGUGCCACGCUUUGUUUCUAAGCAGUCCUGGUGUCCGGAAAGCUCCAUUUGCUUCAGUGUAAGCAACGUGGUCUAGCAUGAAGUACUCCUGUCCAUAGCAGGGGUUGCAACUGGUGGUCUUCAAGUCCCCCCCAGCCCAAACGAGAGAGGAGGCUCAGGGGAGGUCUUAACACUCUCUAUGAAGACCUGAGAGGAGGUCGUUUCAAGCUGGGGAUUGCCCUCUUCUCCCAGCAGAAAAGGACAGCUGUUUACUGUGACCUCUGUCCAGCAAAGGCCCCCAUACUUAGCAAGAGUUAACUCCUCCUUGUUAUGAGGAGUAAAAUGUGAGAAAAGUCAAGAAGUGUAAAUCUUCAAAGGAUAAUGUGCAGUUAGAUGCCAUUUGGCGUGAUGAAGAAUAUCACACUGCAGCCCGGAGAGGCAGUGACAUUAUUCAGGAAGCCUUGAGAAUCAAUAUUUCCUGUCUCCUACUCCUGUGCUGCCUUUACGGAUAGACAAGACACUUUUAACAAUUGCCCUGCCUGAAGCUCAGCUGCACAGUCCACCAGGCUGCUUGCAUAAGACACCUUCCUUGGUGCCAUCCAUCCUCUGUGUUCAGGCCCGUUUUGGUACAGAAACGUAUUGAGACAGUCUGCAAUCCAUGAAGAUGAGAAAAGGAGAGUAUGGAAGCAGAAUGCUCUGUGGGAGUUCAUGAUGGAGAAGACUAGAAUCAUGUGGAAGCAGCCUAACUAUGCUCCCUAAAGGGCCAGCUCAUUGUUACAUGUAGCAUCUGACUACAUCCAUGCCUUUUUUGCAAGUAGUCCAAAGCAUGUCUAACUCAACAUAGGCUGCAGGAGAGUGUGCUUAAAAGUCCAUUAUAUCUCAACUAUAACAAUAGUCCCAAGAUGUCAUUCUGUGAAAGCUGAGAAAUUCCUUUUCAUAUCAAGAACAUAGAAACCCAACACACAAAGCUGCUUAGAAAAGUUGCUUCCAUCUCCAAAUUUGAAAUGGAUAUAGCAUAGAAAGACAAAUAAACGUCAAGCAACAAUUACAGAUUGACUGAAAUUAUUUUUCCUUCUGGAUGGAGUGGUGCAGAGAUGUGUACAGACAGAAUCUCGCAGACAUGCCCUUGCUACAAAGAAGACUGAUGUUAUCCUAGGCUUUGUUAGUCAGAAUCUCACCAACGGGUCAACGGAGGUGAUCUUUCCACUCAGGACAAGUGAUGCUACACAUGGAGCCCCGUGUCCACUUCUGGGCUCUACAGUACAAGAAAGACGUGGACUUGCUAGAGACAGUCCAAUGAAUGGCCAGAAAAAAACUAAGGGACUGUAACACCUGUUCUAUGAGGAAAGUCUGAGAGAGCUGGGACUGUUCAGCCUGUAUAAGAAAAGGCUCAGGGUGGAUACGUGAUGAGAUGGUGCAAAGAAGACAAAGCCAUUGGUACCCAGGGAUAGGACAAGAGUUAAUGUGCACAAACUGGAAUGCAGGAUUCUCCCUUUGAUCGUCCCGUAAUGCUUUCUUACUGUGCGAGUGACUGAAGAAUAGAGCAGGCUGUCCAGAGAGGCAGCGUGGUCUCCUUGGAGAUCUCCAAAAGCCACCUGGGCAUAUGCCUGGGCACUCUGCUCUAGGUGGCACUGCUUGAGCACAGACUGGACCAGAUGGACCCAGAGGUCUCUGACAACUUCAGCCAUUCUGUAAUUCUGUAUUUACAAAGUAAACAAAAGCACAGGUCUGAAUAUUUUCCUUUGCUGUAUGUCCUUGUGUUACUCUUGUUCUGUUCCCUGAUACAGCUGAAUAGAUACAAAACCAUGUGAAUGCAAGUAUGAAUUGACUUCAGUAAUCUCAAGAGAAAUAUUCAUGUGAAUAAAACUACUAAUGAACAGCCUUCUAUGUAACCUUAUUCUCUUUUGUAAUUUCCACCUUUAGAAUUAUAGCCUAUGAUCAAGGUAGUUUCAGUAUCAAAUUUAUGUUUUGAAGUAAGGAGGAUUAGUAAUUUCCAGAUAAGUUUUACAGAAGCUAAUAAGAUUUGACCAAAUAAACUUUCAUUGCUGCCUUCCAAAGUUAAAUCAUAGUCUUACAUAAACAAUAAAUUCCCCCAGUGAAUACCUGUUAAAUGGAUUUGCAAAUUGUGUUGCAGCCCAAUAAACAAACAAACAAAAUUAAUAAACAAACCCUUGAAUGUUCUUGUUAUACAAAUUGUGAAUUCAUUCCUGGCAAACGCAAUACCUCCACAAAUCUCCAAGCCAUGUAAAAGCAGUGUGAACUUUUGAGUAUGAAACUUAUUCAUAGAAAAAAAAUGUGGUAAUUCUUAUGUGCGUAUUUUUACCUUGUGCCUGUCAUUGGAACUGAAGAUUUAUUGCUACAAUACAUAUUAAAAGCAACCAACAGUAGACAAAAG
ensembl:lncRNA